ACCUGUAAAACUGAUUUAAAGUAAUAAGCCAGUAAAUAUGAGUAAAGAGACUUUUAAAUACACAUUUAAUUUUGACGAAUUCGAAUUUAAUGAAUGCCGUUAUGAGCCAUCGAAAUUAAAUCACUCUGAUUGUUAUCUGAAUUACAAUAUCGUAUUUAAUAAUGGUAGUAAGCGAAUUGAAUUCCGUUGUUUGGACCGAAAGUAUACUUUGGAGACUUAAGGCUCGAGACUUAAUAAUUCGUUGUAAAUUACUUUGAGUGAAAAUUCCUUGUAAAAUCCGUGUUCGAACAAAAAAAACAUUUGGAAAUCUUACAUUGAAAGUAAUAUCUCUUUACAUUGUAUUAUCACUAAAAAUCAACAAUAACGUGAGCUGUUGAAGUUAAUCUCUAUGAUACAAAAGAAAAGAUAACAACGUUUAACGAAUGUAUUUUAUUAAACAAAAAUAAUGGAAAAAGCACUUGCACUCUUAGCAAUAUGGUUUGGUAAAAAAGCUACAUUUUAUACUAUUGGUAGAAUGUAUGGUUUUCCACGUGUCUACAGAAGAUUUAUUGAAUUUAAUCGUAGAUGGACUUCAAACAAGGACAAACUGAAAAAUCGGUCUUCAUUUGUUAAAUAUUUCUUCAGGAUUCCUAAUCAAAUCUCUUGGCGUUUUAAGUAUCCAAAGGGUCGUACUUAGUAUUAUUUAAUACUUUCGGUACUUUUGUAAAAAGGAAAUACAAUUGUAGCUUUUAUUUA